rnacentral:misc_RNA from 1 species
UAUACUCAAACUUCGUUAUGGUUGUGGGCACGUAUUUGGCGUAAGCUAGAUUUGCAUGAAUAUAGUGGUAGAGAUCGCUACAAGUGAUGCAAGUGAACGAAUGCCAUUAAGUUAAUUCGUUGGUGAAGCAUAUGGAGCUUUAGCGAUAGUCUUCCUUAAUUAUUGGAAUUGUUUCUAA